GAGUUUGAUCAUGGUUCAGAAUGUACGCUGGCGGCACGCCUAACACAUGCAAGUCGAGCGAGGUACUUGUACCUAGCGGCAGACGGGUGCGUAACAUGUGGGAAUCUGCCUUUUGGUUCGGAACAACACGGGGAAACUUGUGCUAAUACCGGAUAAGUCCUAACGGAGAAAGAUUUAUCGCCGAAAGAUGAGCCCGCACUAGAUUAGCUUGUUGGUAAGGUAAAAGCUUACCAAGGCUACGAUCUAUAGCUGAUUUGAGAGGAUGAUCAGCCACACUGGGACUGAGACACGGCCCAGACUCCUACGGGAGGCAGCAGUGGGGAAUCUUGCACAAUGGAGGAAACUCUGAUGCAGCGAUGCCGCGUGAGUGAAGAAGGCCCUUGGGUUGUAAAGCUCUUUUGUCGGGAAAGAUAAUGACUGUACCCGAAGAAUAAGGUCCGGCUAACUUCGUGCCAGCAGCCGCGGUAAUACGAAGGGACCUAGCGUAAUUCGGAAUUACUGGGCGUAAAGCGCGCGUAGGCGGUUAAGUAAGUUAAUUGUGAAAGCCCAAAGCUCAACUUUGGAAUUGCAAUUAAAACUACUUAGCUAGAGUUUAUCAGAGGAAAGCGGAAUACAUAGUGUAGAGGUGAAAUUCGUAGAUAUUAUGUAGAACACCAGUUGCGAAGGCGGCUUUCUGGGAUAACACUGACGCUGAGGUGCGAAAGUAUGGGUAGCGAAGAGGAUUAGAUACCCUCGUAGUCCAUACCGUAAACGAUGAUUGUUAGAUGUUGGAAAUUUAUUUUCAGUAUCACAGCUAACGCGUUAAACAAUCCGCCUGGGGAGUACGACCGCAAGGUUAAAACUCAAAUGAAUUG
rnacentral:rRNA from 1 species